rnacentral:rRNA from 1 species
AUACGGAGGGUGCAAGCGUUACUCGGAAUCACUGGGCGUAAAGCGCGCGCAGGCGGCCAUCUAAGUUGGAUGUGAAAGCCUACGGCUCAACCGUAGAACUGCAUCCAAAACUAUUUGGCUAGAGUGUGGGAGAGGAAGAUGGAAUUAGUUGUGUAGGGGUAAAAUCCGUAGAGAUAACUAGGAAUACCAAAAGCGAAGGCAAUCUUCUGGAACAUUACUGACGCUGAGGCGCGAAAGCGUGGGGAGCAAACAGGAUUAGAAACCCUAGUAGUCC